UUCCAGCUCCAAUAGCGUAUAUUAAAGUUGUUGCAGUUAAAAAGCUCGUAGUCGGAUUUUGGCAUCACGCCGAACUGUCUGCCGAUUGGUAAGUACGGUUUGGCGGGUGCUUCCUUCCGGAGGCUCGUUCCCUUCUUCAUUGAAGGGUUCGUUGGUUCCGGGUCUUUUACUUUGAGAAAAUUAGAGUGUUCAAAGCAGGCCUAUGCUCUGAAUAGGUUAGCAUGGAAUAAUAGAAUAGGACUUUGGUUCUAUUUUGUUGGUUUCUAGGACCGAAGUAAUGAUUAAUAGGGACAGUUGGGGGCAUUCAUAUUCCAUUGUCAGAGGUGAAAUUCUUGGAUUAACGGAAGAUGAACUUCUGCGAAAGCAUCUGCCAAGGAUGUUUUCAUUA
rnacentral:rRNA from 1 species